rnacentral:rRNA from 1 species
UUCUGUCUUGCUCCGUUUCCUAUGGGAACAUGGUGGAGUAACGCUGAGAUACUCUGGCUGAACCUGUGCAUUAAAGGUUCAUAACAUCCGGUAACACCUGAUAAUCCCGCAACGGUUUCGUGCUCUGCUGAUCAAGGGGGGGACCAUUUGGCCUUCUGUCAUCCUAUGAGUCGGACCCCCGUUAUAUUAUUGGUAUGGUGAAGGCCUACCCCGGCGACAAUAUGAUACUGGUCUGACCUGAUGAUCUGAUCCGCUGCAACUGAACUGAGACCCAGACUCCUCUCCUAGGCAACGCUGCGGAAUUUUAUCUUCCGCAAUGGAGCAUGACCUGACAGAGCCGCGUGAGUGAUGUGAGCUUUGUUUUCGGAUCGCUCUGUCUGUUGAAAGAAAUGAAUUGUGGCUAAAAUCCCUGAUCCUUGCUUGACCCCCUCUGAGAAGAACCGGCUAACUAACUACGUGCCACCGCCGUAAUACAUACGGGUGGUGGCGUUGUUCGUCAAUUAUUUAUUGGGCGUCGCGUGAGCGCAGGUUUGUUCCUUCUGAUGAUGUG